AUGUGAAAUGGCUAGUUAGUUAGCGGUGGUGCGCGCUAAUAGCGUUUCAAUCAGUGGCGUCACUCGCUCUGAGACUUGAAGUAGGGUUUCCCCUUGCGUUGCAAAGGGCCGCGGCUUUUGUGGCGCGAUGGGUAACGAUGCUUCGUGGGGUGUCAGUUGUUGAUGUGUGAAGAGGUUCGAGCCCAGGUUUGGGCGAAGACAGGGACGGAACCUACACUGUUACAAAGACAUAACAAAUGGAAAAAGAAACAUGGAUCGGCGGCAGCUAGAAAGCCGGUGACGUCGACCGCCGAACACCGCCCGAACAAGGAGAGGCACCAACUUCGGCGGAAGUCGUAACAAUACCCAGCACCUCACAACGUUCCCUACACCCAGGCUGCUAGCUGAGUGUGCAGAGCUGGUCAAGGUUCUAGAACUGGUGAAGGUUCUGCCUGUCUUCCUCCAUAGCAACACCACGUUUUUCCAGUUUUGACCACUCUGCGUGCCCUGACCCUGAGCCUGCCUGUCAUUCUGUACCUUGCGACACCGCCCUGGAUUACUGAUCUCUGCCUGCCCUGACCCUGCCUGCCGUUCUGUAUCUUGCGACCCUGUCCUGGAUUACUGACCUCUGCCUGCCCUUGACCUGUCGUCUGCCUGCCUGCCCCCUGUUUUGUUAAUAAACAUCUGCGAUUCGAACUGUCUCCAUCUGGGUCUUAUCCUGAGCUCUGAUAAAUAACGGUAUUUUACGUUCAGUGUAUAUAUUUCCAGUCCCAUGAAAAACCCUAACUCUGUCACUCAGAAACGUAUUCCAAUGUCUGCCUGCCUGCCUGCCAGAAAAUAUUUGCCAGGGUGUGUGUGUGUGUGUGCCAGAGUUUCCCGUUAGGAAAAUUUGGCGCCGGACAACGUGACCGG
rnacentral:lncRNA from 1 species